rnacentral:rRNA from 1 species
ACGGGUGAGUAACGCGUAGGAAUCUACCUAGUAGUGGGGGACAACGUCUCGAAAGGGACGCUAAUACCGCAUACGCCCUACGGGGGAAAGGGGGGGAUCUUCGGACCUCUCGCUAUUAGAUGAGCCUGCGUCGGAUUAGCUAGUUGGUGGGGUAAAGGCCCACCAAGGCGACGAUCCGUAGCUGGUCUGAGAGGAUGAUCAGCCACACCGGAACUGAGACACGGUCCGGACUCCUACGGGAGGCAGCAGUGGGGAAUAUUGGACAAUGGGGGCAACCCUGAUCCAGCCAUGCCGCGUGUGUGAAGAAGGCCUUCGGGUUGUAAAGCACUUUAGGGGGGGAGGAAGGUCCCAAAGCGAAUACCUUUGGGAAUUGACGUUACCCCCAGAAUAAGCACCGGCUAACUCCGUGCCAGCAGCCGCGGUAAUACGGAGGGUGCAAGCGUUAAUCGGAAUUACUGGGCGUAAAGCGCGCGUAGGCGGUUAGAUAAGUCGAUUGUGAAAUCCCCGGGCUCAACCUGGGAAUUGCAGUCGAGACUGUCUGACUAGAGUGUGGGAGAGGGUGGUGGAAUUCCCGGUGUAGCGGUGAAAUGC